GGAUGAACGCUGGCGGCGUGCCUAAUACAUGCAAGUCGAGCGAACAGACGAGGAGCUUGCUCCUCUGACGUUCGCGGCGGACGGGUGAGUAACACGUGGAUAACCUACCUAUAAGACUGGGAUAACUUCGGGAAACCGGAGCUAAUACCGGAUAAUAUAUUUAACCGCAUGGUUCAAUAGUGAAAGACGGUUUUGCUGUCACUUAUAGAUGGAUCCGCGCCGCAUUAGCUAGUUGGUAAGGUAACGGCUUACCAAGGCGACGAUGCGUAGCCGACCUGAGAGGGUGAUCGGCCACACUGGAACUGAGACACGGUCCAGACUCCUACGGGAGGCAGCAGUAGGGAAUCUUCCGCAAUGGGCGAAAGCCUGACGGAGCAACGCCGCGUGAGUGAUGAAGGUCUUCGGAUCGUAAAACUCUGUUAUUAGGGAAGAACAAAUGUGUAAGUAACUAUGCACGUCUUGACGGUACCUAAUCAGAAAGCCACGGCUAACUACGUG
rnacentral:rRNA from 1 species